CAGUAGCCGCGGGAAUACGUAGGGCGCAAGCGUUAUCCGGAAUUAUUGGGCGUAAAGAGCUCGUAGGCGGUUUGUCGCGUCUGCCGUGAAAGUCCGGGGCUCAACCCCGGAUCUGCGGUGGGUACGGGCAGACUAGAGUGAUGUAGGGGAGACUGGAAUUCCUGGUGUAGCGGUGAAAUGCGCAGAUAUCAGGAGGAACACCGAUGGCGAAGGCAGGUCUCUGGGCAUUAACUGACGCUGAGGAGCGAAAGCAUGGGGAGCGAACAGGAUUAGAUACCCGCGUAGUCCCUGUCUCUUAUAA
rnacentral:rRNA from 1 species